UUUUUUGUGUGUCUUCAAAGACAGAGUUGCAGACCGUGUGCCCAAUCUGUGGCCAUAAUUUUCCUCCCAAUGACCUGGAGGCACAUGCAAGCGAGUGUGAAGAGAGCAAAGCUGACUUCAUUCCUUCAACUUCAAAACAAAAGAUGAACAUUUCUAGCCUUGAUGAUGUCCUGCAGGCCAUCUCUGCUGCUGUUAACAACAACGAAGAAUUUCCUCUCACUGUAUCAAGAUCCCAUGUGGUGGACCGGGGCCUUGCUCAAUGGAAGCGACAAAAGAAGGCAUUGCCUACCAGUCGGUUAAAAAUCAGGUUCAUAGGGGAGGCGGGCCUUGAUACAGGGGCACUACGCAAGGAGUUCCUCACAGGUACACAUAUAUUUGAACAAGAAAAGCACUUGGAAAGCACAGACCUCAGCCAAGCAACUCGGAUUUCCCGGCAUUGUAUUAUUUUAUCCACUUUUCUUCAACCGAUCACCAACAAAAUUGAAUCAUCUGUUCCUUUUCCCAUUAUCGACAUUUCCUGAAAGUUUCGUUGAAAUCUGUUUAUAACUUUGAGUUAUUUUGCUAACAAACAAACAGAAAAACAAACUCCAUCAAAACCAUAACCUCCUUGGCAGAGAUAAAUAUGAUUUAAAUUAUUUUUUUUUAAAUUGCAAUAGA